rnacentral:rRNA from 1 species
UACGGAGGGUGCAAGCGUUAUCCGGAUUUACUGGGUUUAAAGGGUGCGUAGGCGGGCUUUUAAGUCAGUGGUGAAAAUUUCGAGCUUAACUCGAAAACUGCCAUUGAUACUAUUAGUCUUGAAUUUAGUUGAGGUUGGCGGAAUGUGUCGUGUAGCGGUGAAAUGCUUAGAUAUGACACAGAACACCGAUUGCGAAGGCAGCUGGCUAAACUAAAAUUGACGCUGAGGCACGAAAGCGUGGGGAUCAAACAGG